CAGAGAGCAAACAACUAAAUAUUCUAAAUUUUAAAAAAGUAGCAUUCCAUCAUUUUUUUUUUUAUAUUAGAUAUUAAGUUAAAAGUGAAUUUUGUAAAAAAAAAAUGUGAGCUAACAGUAAAAAUUCAGCAAGCAGAAAAAAACAACAAAAAAGUUUUAAAAAAAUAUAUUAAGUUGAAAGUUUAUUUUGUAAAAAUAAUGUGUGCCAAACCGGAAACUUCAGCGAGAAACAACAACUAACAAGAAAAAAACUUAUCGGUAUUAAUAUGUGACGGCAGCACAUCAGCACAGCGGAUCAUUGGUCGCACAAGCCAGAGGAUUAAGUCUCUCUCUAGUACACCAAACACCCAAAUACACACAAACAUUCAGCCACUUUUGCAAUACACCCAAAGGUUAUUCUUCAGCUGAUUUAAACACAUUCUUCCAAUUCAAAUCAUCUGCAUCUUCAUCUUCAAAACGUCUUCAAGAGGUUAAAGUUUAAUGGUUCAACACUGUCUGUGGAUUAUCUGGGUCUUCAAUUUGUGCUUUGGCUGUGACUGGCAAAUUCUGGUUCUCUGGGGAUCUUUUCUUUUCUCAAUGAUAAUGAAACCAUAUAUUUUGAUAUGAAAACCUUAUAUUUUGAUACUA